rnacentral:rRNA from 1 species
UACGUAGGGGGCAAGCGUUGUCCGGAAUCAUUGGGCGUAAAGAGCGUGUAGGCGGCUCGUUACGUCUGCUGUGAAAGUCCAGGGCUCAACCCUGGAAGGCCGGUGGAAACUGUCGGGCUAGAGUCCGGUAGAGGCGAGUGGAAUUCCCGGUGUAGCGGUGAAAUGCGCAGAUAUCGGGAGGAACACCAAUGGCGAAGGCAGCUCGCUGGGACGGUACUGACGCUGAGGCGCGAAAGCGUGGGGAGCAAACAGG